AGACAUCAGAAAAUAGUUUAUAGAUAAAAUAUGGGUUUUGGAAAUCCAUGAAGCUGAAAGGUUU
rnacentral:tRNA from 1 species